rnacentral:rRNA from 1 species
UACCGAAGACUUCACUGCUCAUUGUCAUUAGUACGGUCCAAUUAGGUUCGAGUCAGGCAACCAUACGGGGUACCGACCUAAACGAACGAAACGACACAUGACCUCCACGAGUUACUUUAGGCAGUCAAACGAGAACCAGAACCUCCUAAUGCCUUCUCCUAUACAUCUAGGAAGGUUAGGGAUGAGGGAUCGUUACAUGAUCUUCAAUAUUUACCACCAGUCAUAGUCGGUGAUGUACAGCCUCGACAACGCCCUCGUGGUCUUCGAACAGGACAAAGUGCGUCCACGAUGGUUAGAUGUAGUUCGACAACCCGGUGCUCUAUUACGCCCACAGGAGGAACGAAUUCGUUGUAGUACCACCCCUGGAAGUCUCCAACGGCAGUCACCGCUCAGGUUUGGUCUACGUAGUAGUAGGCGGCGGUGGUUACGGAUUAAAGACACCUUUACCAAAACCGGGCACCUUGGUGCCACGCGUAGAUCUCUAACAGAAACUCUUAUUAAACUACUUGGUGGUACAGCGAGAAGUUAGACCAAGGUACCCUUUCAUUUAAUGUAGCGAGCUCGCCCAGUUGUAUCGGAUGUCUACGUCCUAUGUAAAGAUCUCGACUUUAAAGUCCCGUAGUUCUUCAUUAAUUGAUACGAAGUUCGUUCCUUCAAUAAAACCAUAUUGAAAAAACUCCUGAUUAAAUGAUCGAAUUACAAACCUUCAAUUACUCGACGUCUAUACCGUACACGCAUGUGCUUCUGGACUACGUAGUUUCGAGCCACACCUGUGGAGAAGAAUGUACUGUACAAACAGAUGUUGAAUAGGCUCGAAGUUAAAGGUCUUAUUUUGUGUACAAAAAUAAAUAAUACCAAAGAAGAGAAUCUAUUGGUUUGUAAAACGUCUACAACUAAAAAGUAAAGGAAGGUUGCGGUAAUUUAGGGUCACAAAAGAUUAAACUUUACCGAGGGGAGUCAUAGUGAGGGGAGUCAAAAACCUCCUUGUACCACGAUAAACCACAAAAACCAACACCUUUUUUACAGUAAUCAGUCCGUGAAAGAUUCCACCAGUCGACUGACGAGACAACAGUACCUACACCCUUUUAGAAACAGAUAUAAAAAAAGAACCAUGGUAGAGAUAUGGCAGAUAACUCAAACUUUUACAGGCGCCAUGAGGUUAAGACUUCGAGACCAAAUACACCCUACACCCCUUUCUCCUUUACUCUACAGACUACAAGAGUAUAUACCUAAAAGGGGUUAACUGUUACUGUAACGGACUGUACUACACUUG